CCAUUCUUAUUAGGAAUGACUGACUGACUGAUAGCUAAACACUGUAGACAGCAAAAGCUCGAAAACGGAGGGAAAAUGUCACAGUUUUGGAAACCAGGCACCGAGAAGCCCCGAAUCCUUGACGACGAAGAAGGGGGCGUCCUUUUCUUCUCGUCCACCAUCUCCUCCUCUUCAUCGGGGUAUGGAUAUGCGAGUAUUGAAAAGCAGAGACAGAGAUUGCCUGUGUACAAGUACAGAACGGAAAUUUUGUAUUUGGUGGAGACUCACGGCACUACCAUUAUUGUCGGUGAGACUGG